rnacentral:rRNA from 1 species
AGAGUUUGAUCCUGGCUCAGAACGAACGCUGGCGGCGUGGAUAAGACAUGCAAGUCGAACGCUAGCUUCAGGGUAGCAAUAUUCUGAAGUUGGAGUGGCGUAAGGGUGCGUAACACGUGGGCAAUUUGCCGUGAAGUUGGGGAUAACUCGCUGAAAGGCGAGCUAAUACCGAAUGUGACUGUUUAGGGGCAUCCCUGGAUAGUUAAAGUUGGGGACCGUAAGGCCUGACGCUUCACGAUAAACCUGCGGCCUAUCAGCUAGUUGGUGAGGUAACGGCCCACCAAGGCUAAGACGGGUAGCUGGUCUGAGAGGACGACCAGCCACACUGGAACUGAGACACGGUCCAGACACCUACGGGUGGCAGCAGUCGAGAAUUUUUCUCAAUGGGCGAAAGCUUGAAGGAGCGACGCCGCGUGGGGGAUGAAGGGCUUCGGCUCGUAAACCCCUGUCAUUUGCGAACAAACCUUCUCACCUAAUACGUGGGGAGCUGAUAGUAGCGAAAGAGGAAGGGACGGCUAACUCUGUGCCAGCAGCCGCGGUAAUACAGAGGUCCCAAGCGUUGUUCGGAUUCACUGGGCGUAAAGGGUGCGUAGGUGGCGAGGUAAGUUUGAUGUGAAAUCUCCGGGCUUAACCCGGAAACGGCAUUGAAUACUAUCUUGCUAGAGGGUCGGAGGGGAGACUGGAAUUCUCGGUGUAGCGGUGAAAUGCGUAGAUAUCGAGAGGAACACCAGUGGCGAAAGCGAGUCUCUGGACGACUCCUGACACUGAGGCACGAAAGCUAGGGGAUCAAACAGGAUUAGAUACCCUGGUAGUCCUAGCUGUAAACGGUGCACAUUUGCUGUGAGGGGAUUCGACCCCCUUCGUGGCGAAGCUAACGCGUUAAAUGUGCCGCCUGGGAAGUACGGUCGCAAGAUUAAAACUCAAAGGAAUUGACGG